AUCGAACGCUGGCGGCAGGCCUAACACAUGCAAGUCGAGCGGAUGAAGCGAGCUUGCUCCUGGAUUCAGCGGCAGACGGGUGAAUAAUGCCUAGUAAUCUGCCUGAUCGUGGGGGAUAACGUCCUGAAACGGGCGCUAAUCCCGCAUACGUCCUUCUGGCGCAAUUGGGGGAUCUUCCGACCUCUCGCUAUCAGAUUAGCCUAGGUCUGAUUAGCUAGUUGGUGGGGUAACGGCCUACCAAGGCGACGAUCCGUAACUGGUCUGAGAGGAUGAUCAGUCACACGGGAAGUGAGACACGGUCCAGACUCCGACGGGAGGCAGCAGUGGGGAAUAUUGGACAAUGGGCGAAAGCCUGAUCCAGCCAAGCCGCGUGUGUGAAGAAGGUCUUCGGAUUGUAAAGCACUGUAAGUUGGGAGGAAGGGCAGUAAUUUAACACCGGGCGGUUUUGACGGUACCAACAGAAGAAGCACCGGCUAACUUCGUG
rnacentral:rRNA from 1 species